UGAGUGCACCAAGUGUUGAAUAUAAAUCCUUAAAUAUUGUGUGGUGAGUGUGUAGUGUAGGUGUGUUGUGAUACUUAAGAUUGGAGGUUGUCCAAUUCACCUGACAAAAAAAUGUAAACUGGUAGAUUUGUUGAAGUGGGCUUUAGCAGCAGUGGAUUGGGUAGCCAAAAAGGACCUGAAUUUUUUUUUUUUGUGAAUGGGAAAAAAAAGGAAAAACCAGGUUCAGCAGUAUCCAUGGAGGGUGAAGUAAGAACAAAGAUCUCCCCAAAAAUGAAACCCUAGGUUGCAAGGAGAGGGAUACAAUCGCCGUGGUGGAGCCGUCGCGAAGGAUCACGACUGGAAAUCGAUAUUGAUCGAAGAUGCGAAUUCAUGUCAUAGCCUAGUGGGUGUUGCAUUGCCUGUGUAUGGCCGUUCACGCAUCCGCUGCUGGUGCGAUCGGUAAUUGUGGCUGUUCUAGUUUGAUCCGCAAUUGAAAAAACACUAAAUUAUAACUAUCAUCACCAUAAAAAUAAACGGCCACCUGUAUGUUCGAUAGAGCCAAAGAUUCCCUCUCCCCACACUGAUCAGAGCCCUAUCUACCCGAGAGGGUAGGCUUCCUAUACCAGGUUCUUGGUUGUCUCAGUUGCUCCUUUCUUCAGGCUUGGCGAGGAGGAGUGGAUCAGAAAGUCUUUCCUCUCGCUUUGCUGGAGACCUAAAGCCCUCCUAUUCAUUGUUUUGAUUUGUUUUUAAUUACCUUCACCGCGUGCCACGGAAUGGAAGGGGGCUCGAUCUGCCGUCCCGAGGCACUAAGAGGUUGAAGUUUUUGAAACAGACGGCAAUGUUUUGCUGGCUCCUUGAAUCAAGCUUUUGACAGAGACCCACGAUGUCUUCCUUAUUCUGAGUCGAACACUUUCCUGCAGGUUGUAAAGCCUAACUCUAAUUACAGUCAAGUCGAAGUUUCAAAUACAUAAUAUGUCAUCAGGAAACAGAGUAAGAUAAUAUCAACUUUGGAGUGAAUAUUUGGUUACCUUUGUAGAGUUCUAAAUUUUUUAUGAAUGAUUCUCAUGUACUAGGAAACACACAAACAGUUGAAUCAAGUUCAAGAAAAAAAUGUUUCAUGGUUAUAGGGAUCAAUACAGCUUUAGUAGCAGAAAAUGAAGAGAUUCUUUUCGUACAACUUGGAUGCCACAAGGUGAUCAAGUGACAUUUUAGCCCAUUUUCUAGUUUUUCCUUUCUUAUUCAUUUUAUUUUAUGAAUGGUUUGAAAUGGAAUGUCAUCAAUUGAGGAAAGAAAGAAUUGAAGAUUUGAU